GCCGUCUUAGCUCAGUGGUAGAGCGCGUGGCUUUUAACCACGUGGUCAUGGGUUCUCGAUCCCACAAACGGCG